UACGAAGGGGGCUAGCGUUGCUCGGAAUCCCUGGGCGUAAAGCGCACGUAGGCGGCUUGCUAAGUCAGGGGUGAAAUCCUGGAGCUCAACUCCAGAACUGCCUUUGAUACUGGCGAGCUUCGAGUCCGGGAGAGGUGAGUGGAACUGCGAGUGUAGAGGUGAAAUUCGUAGAUAUUCGCAAGAACACCAGUGGCGAAGGCGGCUCACUGGCCCGGUACUGACGCUGAGUGAGCGAAAGCCAGGGGAGCAAACGGG
rnacentral:rRNA from 1 species